UCAGUCUCUCUUUCGAGUUCAACUCUCCACUACUAAAGAAAACACACACAUGUAUAACUGACUGACAACACACGUCUGAGUCACACAGAGACCUACAGCUUAUGUGGAAAGACGGCUGGGCGGAGAGAGGCUGCAAGUUCUGAAGAAUUUAAUCAUUUCUUUAAAAUUCCCAGAUGUUUGUGACACUCCUAUAAUUGCCAUUUCCCAGAUCAUGUGCAAGGCUGAUGUGAUCUAGACUGAAGACCAAGGAAACACAGCUGACUGGAAAAUAAGAAACUUCAAGCAUGUGCCUGAACAGUGCUGAAAAGAAGAAGUAGCAGGAGUUUCAAAUGGAGUUUUUACGUCAGUACUUCUGGCUAGCAUUAGUUCUGGCCAUCAUUCUGGUGUCUCUGGUGAUAGUAAUGAUUUUCAUAAUCAUCAAUGUUUGCAUCAAUAAAAGAGCUGCUUGGUACAGUACACAAGCAAGCCCAAACCAUUAUAAUGACACACAUUUUAAAAAGCAGAACAACCAAGUUAAUCACAAAGACCAUGAGACUGAGAAACCACCCUUACCUCCCAGGGAUCAGUUCAAAUCCAUGCAUUCUGUGGAUCGGAGUUAUGAGGAUUUGGAGCCCGCGUCAGACUAUGUGGAGGUUGAGGAUGAGUCAAAUCCCCCUGCGCCCCAACAACCCACCUUCACGCCACACUACGCCACCGUCGAGACUAAAAGUCAAGACCAAGACGCUGUCUCUGAGGAUUAUGAUGAUGUUGAAAUCCCUGCUAACGAUGACUGCGAGGAUUAUGAUGACAUAGGAUAAAACACAGGAAAACCAUUACUUUCCCUUCACAUGAGCAGACCCAGAAAUCAACUAUAUGUUUCCUACAAACUACUAUUGUACAUUAUUUGAGCAGAAACAAGUUCUAAUAGCAUGUAAACGAUUACAAGUGUGUUUACUUUCAUAUAAACCAAUCUUUCACUUCCCAUUGUUAGAAAUGCAAUACAUCUUCCAAAAAUGUCAUUUGAUUUGUCAUUUUCUGUUGAAGCACCACAAGACUUUUGUGUGGAAGUGAUUAUGCAAGUUCAAAGGAUGUUGAGAAAUAUCUAAAUAUAUAUAUUACAUCGUAUACCUAUAAAUGACAUUUGCACUUGCAAAUUUCAUGUCUGAUACUACAGUAUACCUUAUUUUUUAUUCCUGAGAAUCUAUAACAAAAAGCUUUUUGGAAAAGAAAAACAACACACAAACAAGCAGUACGCUGAAACUUUUUUCAUACAUUUAUUCUUUAAAAAAAAAAAAAAAAAAAAAAAAAACAAAAAUGGUGACUAUAAAAAGAUAUUUGUCUUUCACAGCUGCUCGAUUUGUAAUCGCUGUUGUUCAGGGCAGCAACAUAUCAAAAGUCAGUUCUUUUUUUAAACCCAUG
rnacentral:lncRNA from 1 species